ACUAAUCAUGGCUGCAGUGGUCGUCCUCCUGAAAUGACUCCACAGACAGCGAACUACUUUCACAAUCUGACAAAUCUGAUGGUUGUUGGACUUCACAAAGAUGAAAAAUACAGGAAGAUGAAAUUAAAAAGAGUAGAAACAGUGUCAGCAGCACUGUUCCCUCUAAACUGCGCGCGUGCGCAAUUGCGCACUGCUGACACGGUGUCCACGCACAGAAAAUCUGCGCUGUGCACAAAAAAAAAAAAUCCAACCUAAAUUGUAAAUAAAAUAAACACGUAACAAUUCAUUCUGUGCUAUUUUUCAAUGUGAGUCAGUGAGUGACCAGUGACUGGCUGCUGCAGCCAAUGAUGCGACUCACAUACGUAUUUACCAUAGACUGUAUAUAAUGGUAUUUACGCAGCUAAUCUACGUCAGGCGUCCUUACGUGCAGCCACCGUUGUUCUCAUAGAUAUGAAUGAGUAGAUAGGACACGCCCCUUUGAGCUGCGUGCUACAGCGAGGCUAAGCUAGUGGGGGCAAAGUUUCAGUGCAUUCCGUGGAUGUAGACGGCGUGAAAACGGAAACAAGAAGUAUGCCGUCUCACUGUGCUGCAUACAAUUACACACUACGUCGUACGAUUGAGACAAGGACACUUGGAAUGACUUUUCAUAGGUUUCCCAGAGACUAUGGGUUGAGGAGGAAUUGGAAGUUUGUCGGCUUAGACCUGGUGUCAUUCCAUCAGUGUUAAACUUCCCGGCUCAUCUUGGAAGAGUACGUGCCAGAAAGACCACGACCAAACAGCCUUGAGAUCUUAGGCAGCGUCUCCCUGAGGUCCCUCUCUAUCUCCCCACAUAUCCACCAACCACUGGAACACAUCUCCAAAGUUCUGCUGGUCCAGCUCAGCUUCCUCUCAGAAGAAGUGCUGCCACCUGCCAGAUGAAGGAGCCUUUUGAGAGGCAGCUGGCAUCGUGAUUGGACUGUACUUUGGUCUGUUCCAAUCCAGCUUCAGCUCCAGAGACGGCAGGCGGGACGAUUCAACGGAGGCCGGAUGGACGAAGGCAUGCAGCUGAGUACAAUACAGAAAACAACAGAGGAGGAGUGCAGCAGCCCAGAGCCAGAACAACCAGAGUAGCAUCGUAUGUCUGUUAGAAAACAUCAUAGUAUAGCCUUUGGUAUGAAAAAACGCCAUAAUAUACAUCGUAUAUUGUACAAAUAACAAGUCAAAGGAAAGAGACAUACGUUGUAGAAUUGUAGUAAUUGUGGGCUGACUGAUUUACUGAUUAUCAGUAUUUUAUUUUUUACUGAUUUACAGUAAUAAAUACAUUUAAAAAUGGCACUACUUUGGC